rnacentral:snoRNA from 1 species
AAGAUUAUACUUUCGGGGGUCAUUUCUAUAGUUUGUUACUAGAGAAGUUUCUCUGAAUGUAGAGUACCGCAACCCACGGGAAGAAGGUGUGGUGUUCUUUCCUGAGUGUGACGCUGACUCUGGCGCUGACUCUGGCUGUUCUUUUUAACAGCUACCUUUUGUCAUUGAUGAUCAUUCUUCUCUCUCUUUUGGGGGAGUUAGAGGGAAAGGACUCUGUCUGAGUGGU